UACAGAGGUGGCAAGCGUUGUUCGGAAUUACUGGGCGUAAAGGGCGCGUAGGCGGCCUUCUAAGUCAGACGUGAAAUCCCCCGGCUUAACCUGGGAACUGCGUCUGAUACUGGGAGGCUUGAGUAUGGGAGAGGGAUGUAGAAUUCCAGGUGUAGCGGUGAAAUGCGUAGAUAUCAGGAGGAACACCGAUGGCGAAGGCAGGUCUCUGGGCAUUAACUGACGCUGAGGAGCGAAAGCAUGGGGAGCGAACAGG
rnacentral:rRNA from 1 species